AAAUAGGCCGAGCCAAUCCAUGGUGUCACGUCCAUCAUUGUGUCCGCAGUAGAAGGUUGGUCUUUAUUUUGAGAAACACACAUUUAGGUCAAACUUUCACUUGAAUGAAAUACUUUUUCUUUAUGUUUGACUUUGCAGAUGCACGUAAUAGUUCAAGCACUAGUGGAGGGGGCCAUUGCCCGCCUCCCCCUAUUUUACAACGGUGUAAAUUAAUUGUUAUAUUUUGAGCGAGACAUUUAUUGCAAUGGUAUAAUUUCAUAUCAGCACGACAUCUCUUGGUAGCACGGUAGACAUUUCUUCAUUGUUUUUUUGCGUAUCUUGUACUAUUUUCCAGUUACAUGGCCGUUAAGAGCAUCUCCAACAAUCUUUGUAUAUUUGCACUCAAUUGCUAUUUUAGCAAUCUUGGCCAAAAAACCAUCUCCAACAGCCUUUGUAUAAGUG
rnacentral:lncRNA from 1 species